GACGGAUUACAAAUGGACGUGAUCGCUUGAUGGGGGCAGUUAGCAGCGGCGGCGGCGGGAAAACAAGAUUUAUGACUCACGCGUACGUGAUUGGGAGCAACGAUUCACUUUGCGCAAUGUUCACGGCUCACGAAAUUUGUGGAUUUGUUCAUUGAAAUCUUUGAAAAACUGUAUACACAAAACAAGCCUUGCUCCUCUUGCUUCGAGUGUCACGCAGAUCGAAUCAUAAAUAUUAGGAAUGGCAUGUGAUUCUGUUUUUGCACGGGGGAUGCGUACCGUGCAAAAAA